rnacentral:misc_RNA from 1 species
GACUUGGAAGCCAACGUCUCCUCCCCAUUCAAGGGUCCUGGCCCAAUCUUUUUGACGAAGGAAGAAUUGAAGCAGCAUGGAAGCCGACUUCUCCUCCGCAUUCAAGGGUCCUGGUUGGUUCUUCCUAUAAAUAUUACGCCUUUUUCCCCCCAACACAAGCAAAUCCCAAAUUCCUAUCUUUGAGUUCUGAGGAAUCAACUUGUUUCAACUUUUCAAUACCAAUCAUGAAUUCCAUCUUUAGCUCCUUCGAUGCACUCUGCGCUGAAUUCUUGGGCCAAACUAUUAGGUCCUCUUUUGCUUCUGCAUCUACGGAUAACUUGAUCAAGAAGCCGCAGCAAAGCUCGUCUUUACGGUCGACUGCCGACCGAAAACAGGAGCAACCACCAAGCAAGGCCCCGAGGUUUGCACCGGAGCUUGAUGGGCUCAACUUUUUCGAGACCCUUGUUAAGUAUUGAUUCUUGAUUCUGCUGUUGGGCGUCCAUCUUAACAUUCUUGCUUGUACAAAUCAGCAAACUUACUACUGAGAUUGUUAUGGAAUUCUUUCAUUGAUUCAAUCCGAAGUUGUUCUAAGCUUAAUUUGAACAUCUCUUAUUGUGUGAUGGUUUAGAUUUUCAAACAUUACAGAGCGGAGGUUUUGCUUUCACAGGAUGAAAGCAAUUAGAUUGUUGCUUGCCACUGUAGAUUAAUUAAAACAAUCAAUUAGCAAUUGUCAAGCCAAGUGUAGAUUCUAUGGUUAAAAGAUCACCAAACUUACAACUUGAAGAAUUUCUCAAUUUGAAUGUUAACCCUUUUAUCUCUCCUUCAAAAAAC